AGGGUGGCUUUUGGCAGUGAUGCAAGAGCAGUGAAAUCACCGGGGAGGGUGCUGGAAGGCGAGGUUGGAGAGGGGGGAGGGGCUUAGUCCAUUAAGGGCUUGCGGGUCAGAUAAAGACAGGUGGACGCGGUCAGAAGAACUCACUAACAAGUUUUAAGUAGAGGAGUGAUGUGAUAUGAUUUGUCUUCUGAAAGGCUGGCUCUGCCCGCAGGUACCAGCCAGAUGGGACGGGAUCGGACCGGAUGUGGCAAAAUCAGUGAGAUCGCUUGCACGACGUGGUGGCACCAGUGACAAUGGGAGAAGUUGACGGGCAGAUCUGACACAUUUGAUACUUAGGAGGAAUACAGCUUGGCAAAAACACAUCCAAGGACACCACGUGUGAUUUCCUCCGCGCUGAUUUUGGAAGCUGGGAUGUUUCUGCAUACGCGCAUCAGCAACAUCUAAGCCAACACUCCUCUGGGCCUGUUUCAAACAGCACAUUGAUAUGCCCUGAGCUCUUCUCCGAGUGACCAAGGGCCCACGUCCGUCCACUGCACUGUGAACAGCAGCGGGAAAGCCUUCGAGAACACAGAGGAAAUAGAUGCCAUGUUGUUUGGAAAUAUUUACAUUGGGAAGCCAUCACGUACGCAGAUUUUUUUUUUUUUUUCAUUUAAAGCCGUGUUUUUGCCCUUUAUCCAUAUUUUGGCUACAUUUGUUUUGUUUGGAUAGUGAAAGCAUGUGUCAUUGUCAGCUGUUGUUGUUGUUGUUUUAAAUGUCUUUUGGCUUUCUUGCAACAGCAAUGUCAAUUACAACAAAAUUAAAGAUGAGGUCUAAGGAAACAGUAAUUUAUGUGUUUGCCGCGCAGAACAUUUAUAAAAUUUACUUUUACAGCAGCAUUAGUAAAAACUGGAGCAAAAAUACUAAAAAUAGAUGAAGA